CAAAGUCCGUAAUAAAUCACCUUUCAACGAGAGAAAAAUGGAUUAGGGUGGUUUGCUUUGGCAGCUUCGGUUGAGAGGCAGCUGAGUGGGAAAGCGGCACCCAGGUCCCCAGCUCCUUCGGCUUGGAAGGAAGGGCUAGGUGGACAUCAGGAGACCAAAGCAUUUAUGCAACAUGAGAGGGUCAUGAGAAGAGGCGGGUAGAUGGCACAUAAGGCACCUGCGAGAAUCAGAGAGAGGAGGAAAAGGAGGAAGAAGUAAAGGGACUCUCUCUGCUCUUAUCUAGGGCCGCGUGGACCAUCUGUAGCCCGGACGCUCUCCAUCCCUCCUUCCCUACUCGAGGACAUCAGGCCAGCAAGCUUCUCCUCUCUUCUACAACACCGAUCGUUUGCGCUCCACUGGGUCACUCCCGCAAGAACAUCUUAGCGGCCACCACCACUACAGAACACUUCUCUUGACCUUAUUUCUACUUCUUUGCUCUCUUUACUUGCCACGUGCCUUGAAAGAGCUCCCUGUAGUCUCUGUAUCUGCUUCUGCUGCUCUUAGUCUUUCGCUAACCUCGUCACCUAAGGCUUUCUCGUCCACUACACUGUGAACCGGUUCCUGCCCCAGGGCCUCGGCACUUACUGUUCCCUUGACCCAAAUAACUCUGUGUCCGCUCUUUUACCCUUCU